rnacentral:lncRNA from 1 species
GCAAACAUACUGCCUUGUUUGGUUGCGGCUCUCUUGACCUUUCCUUUUUUUUUUGGCACAAAAGGAUGUCCCAGGCACCUGACAGAUUUACAUUAGCAAAACUAGAACCAUUACAGAAGACAUUAUACCAAAAUAAGACAAACUACGAUUAAUUUAAGUCUUCAUUCCAAUGCAUCCAUCGUAACAUCACCGUUGAUCCUGUCGGUUCGCGAAAGAAAGGACAAAUAAAGAACCUACGAACCAAUCGCACACUGGUGCUUUUGAAGACCGCUAGUCGUGUGUCUCGAGGCCGAUCCACAAAACUACUGCAAAAUUAAAAUACGGGUAAGACCACACUCUUCUACUCCAUCCAUCC